rnacentral:rRNA from 1 species
GAUGAACGCUGGCGGCGUGCCUAAUACAUGCAAGUCGAGCGAACGGACGAGAAGCUUGCUUCUCUGAUGUUAGCGGCGGACGGGUGAGUAACACGUGGAUAACCUACCUAUAAGACUGGGAUAACUUCGGGAAACCGUAGCUAAUACCGGAUAAUAUUUUGAACCGCAUGGUGCAAAAGUGAAAGACGGUCUUGCUGUCACUUAUAGAUGGAUCCGCGCUGCAUUAGCUAGUUGGUAAGGUAACGGCUUACCAAGGCAACGAUGCAUAGCCGACCUGAGAGGGUGAUCGGCCACACUGGAACUGAGACACGGUCCAGACUCCUACGGGAGGCAGCAGUCGGGAAUCUUCCGCAAUGGGCGAAAGCCUGACGGAGCAACGCCGCGUGAGUGAUGAAGGUCUUCGGAUCGUAAAACUCUGUUAUUAGGGAAGAACAUAUGUGUAAGUAACUGUGCACAUCUUGACGGUACCUAAUCAGAAAGCCACGGCUAACUACGUG